rnacentral:rRNA from 1 species
CCUGUGAGGCUGAUUCGUAGGCAAAUCCGCGAAUCAUUAAGGCUGGGCUGUGAUGGGGAGCGAAAAUUAUAGUAGCGAAGGUCAUGUACUCCGGCUGUCAAGAAAAGCCUCUAGCCAGGUGAAGGUGCCCGUACCGCAAACCGACACAGGUAGGCGAGCAGAGCAUGCUAAGGCGCGCGGAAGAACUCUCGUUAAGGAACUCGGCAAAAUGACCCCGUAACUUCGGGAGAAGGGGUGCCCCGGUAAGGUUAAUAGCCUGAGGGGGCCGCAGUGAAAAGGCCCAAUCGACUGUUUAGCAAAAACACAGGUCUGUGCGAAGCCGUAAGGCGAAGUAUACGGGCUGACGCCUGCCCGGUGCUGGAAGGUUAAGGGGAGCGGUUAGGGGUAACCCGAAGCUGUGAACUGAAGCCCCAGUAAACGGCGGCCGUAACAAUAACGGUCCUAAGGUAGCGAAAUUCCUUGUCAGGUAAAUUCUGACCCGCACGAAUGGCGUAACGAAUUGGGCGCUGUCUCAACGAGAGAUCCGGUGAAAUUUUAAUACCUGUGAAGAUGCAGGUUACCCGCGACAAGACGGAAAGACCCCAUGGAGCUUUACUGUAACUUGAUAUUGAACUUUGGUACGAUCUGUACAGGAUAGGUGGGAGCCAUUGAAGCAUGAGCGCCAGCUUGUGUGGAGGCAACGUUGGGAUACCACCCUGAUCGUAUCGGAGUUCUAACCUAGAACCAUGAAACUGGUUCGGGGACCGUGUCAGGUGGACAGUUUGACUGGGGCGGUCGCCUCCUAAAAUGUAACGGAGGCGCCCAAAGGUUCCCUCAGAAUGGUUGGAAAUCAUUCGAAGAGUGCAAAGGCAUAAGGGAGCUUGACUGCGAGACCUACAAGUCGAGCAGGGACGAAAGUCGGGCUUAGUGAUCCGGUGGUACCGAAUGGAAGGGCCAUCGCUCAACGGAUAAAAGCUACCCUGGGAUAACAGGCUUAUCUCCCCCAAGAGUCCACAUCGACGGGGAGGUUUGGCACCUCGAUGUCGGCUCAUCGCAUCCUGGGGCUGAAGUAGGUCCCAAGGGUUGGGCUGUUCGCCCAUUAAAGCGGUACGCGAGCUGGGUUCAGAACGUCGUGAGACAGUUCGGUCCCUAUCUGUCGCGGGCGCAGGAAAUUUGAGAGGAGCUGUCCUUAGUACGAGAGGACCGGGAUGGACGUACCGCUGGUGUACCAGUUGUUCCGCCAGGAGCACCGCUGGGUAGCCAAGUACGGACGGGAUAAGCGCUGAAAGCAUCUAAGCGUGAAGCCCCCCUCAAGAUGAGAUUUCCCAGUAUGUAAGACCCCUUGAAGACGACGAGGUUGAUAGGUUCGGGGUGGAAGCACAGCAAUGUGUGGAGCUGACGAAUACUAAUCGGUCGAGGGCUUAUCCG